GCGACGGCAGCUACUCGUUAAAGAACAAAAUAGCAUGGUAAAAUAUCUCAACUGAAAACAGACGGGGUAAAAUUAGUAGAGAACCCAGUCAUGGCAUCGAAAAUAUUGAAACUUCUGACCAACGAGGGAGGAGAGUAAAUCAGUAUCACUGAGAUGAUCGUUAAGUUCAUCCACCGAAUAAAUUAAAAGCUUAUUGUUUUCCAUGGAUAAAUAAAAUAGUGUUUCAUUCCUCUUCUGUGCCUGAACCUUCUGAGCUGGAGCCUCCUUUAUGCACAGUGCCAUUUGCAGCAGGGCCCU
rnacentral:misc_RNA from 1 species